rnacentral:lncRNA from 1 species
AUGCUGGGGAGGGGUGUGUGCGCACGGUUUACAACCGUGUCGCAAUUUAAGCUCGAACAGGCACACAGGCCUACCUUGAGCACCCACAAGCAGAGCCACCAUUUUACAUAUCACCCAGAGGAAGAGGAGGUGCCUCCUGCCUUGCUCUGGCCCUGUCAGUCACGGGCAGGAAUUCAGGUUGCCGCUUUGCACACUCAGUCACCUCAGGGCCUGGCAGCUCUGGGCCUGUGCUGGCUGCUCCACCCCAGGGCUCGACCCCUCCGCCUGCUCUUCUGGGGCUGGGCAGGCUGCUUGUGCUCAGGGUUCUCCUCAGCUCUCACAGGCCAAAGGUGGCUGCUGUCUUCAGGGUGGCCUCAAGUACGGCCAGGAGCGGACAGUUCCGGCCUGCCUGGCCCCAGCAGCAGGGCAUGUCAGAGCAGCCUGUGGCCAGGGAAAGCACACAGCUACUACUGAGGACUGCAAAGAGACCAGUGGCGUAAUUCAGGAAAGAGGCUGAGCAGAAAAGUCAAGCAGCAGAUGAUGCUGUUGUCUGAGCUGGGUAGCUGUGUACUUGGGUAAGUUGCCCAGCAUGCCAGCACAUGACAUGGUGCUCACAGAGAUUUGUUGUGUUCCCUUCUCCUCCCCCAGCAAAGCAGCCUCAGUUCAGGAGUUGUGAGUUCAAUUCCAUAGCAUUUGAAAAUGACAGUGAUCUCUAUUUGCUGUCCUGCUUCUGAACAUGGACUUUCUUAUGUUCCUUGCCUCCCUACUUGCUUUCCAAAAUGUUAUCGAAAGCUGAUGGGGACUUUCAGGGUCAUCAGUAAACAGACAACAGUUAUAAAAGCUUGUUGAGAUCUGUCAUUGUUGAGGGCUGAUGGUUUUCAGUGGAGAACUUUGGAGAAUACCCACUUGGGGAUGGAUGCUGGGGUGUGAAACCAUGGAAAGAGGGAUUAAAAGGCAUCCCGCUUUUCCAAGUGUGAUCCUGCCCAAAGAAAAUGGGCCAGCGCAGACAAUCUGGCAGCUGAAUAAUUCUGUGGUUGCUCCAUUGUUUGCAGAGACAGAAGUAUGCCUAUGCCCUUCUUGUGCUCUAAUUUGUGUAGGGAACAGGUCGGUUGCAGCCCUGUGCAGAGUGUUUGCUGAGGUGGAGAAUAUCUUGUUGAUCUUUCUAACCGCAGCAUGACCUACCAGCAGGCUCCCGUGUAGAAUUCUGCUAGUGUGCAAAUAAAUCUUGGUUCUAAUUGCA